GGAAGACACAAGCCCACCACCAUUGCACUCGAAAGCUUCAGCUCAAGCUCAAGCUCCACAUCAACAAUGGCGAGCAGCAGCUCAAUGCUGGCCGUCCUAGCCACCCUGGCCCUGCUGCUCUCCCCAGCCGCCUCAGCCCUGUCGUCCACGCUGUCCCCGGACUUCCACGCGGAGACGUGCCCGCAGCUGGACGGCAUCGUGCGCGCGGCGGUGCAGGCCGCCCUCACGAGCGAAAUCGCCAUCGCCGCUGGCCUCGUCCGCAUCUACUUCCACGACUGCUUCCCGCAGGGCUGCGACGCCUCCAUCCUCCUCAACUCCACCUCCGCCCGCGAGACGGCGCUGGGCCCCAACCUCAGCAUCCAGCCGCGCGCCAUGCAGCUCGUCGAGUCCAUCCGCUCCACGGCGCACGCCGCCUGCGGGCCCGUUGUCUCCUGCGCCGACAUCACCCUGCUCGCCACCCGCGCCGCCAUCGUCGCCUCCGGCGGGCCCACCUUCCCCGUGCCCCUCGGCAACCUCGACAGCCUCGCCCCGGCGUCACAGGACAAGGUGUUCGACCUCCCGUCGCCGGCCACCGCCAGCGUCGCCGCUCUGGUGCAGUCCUUCGGCACCAGGGGACUCGGCGACGUGGCCGACCUCGUGGCGCUCUCGGGCGCGCACACCAUUGGUCGGUCGCAGUGUGGGUCCUUCUCCGACCGGUCUCAGCGCGCCGACGACACCUUCUCGAGGAAGCUCGCCGCCAACUGCAGCAAGAACCCGGACCGUCUGCAGAACCUGGACGUGAUCACCCCGGACCUGUUCGACAACGGGUACUACAAGGCGCUGGGGUUCAACCAGGGCGUGUUCACCUCCGACAUGGCGCUGGUCAAGAACAAGACCACCGCGCCCAUCGUGAAGCAGUUCGCCGCGAGCAAGGACGCCUUCUUCGCGCAGUUCGCCAAGUCGAUGACCAAGCUCGCCAGCGUGCCCAAGCCGGCGGGCAACGUCGGGGAGAUCCGCCGCUUCAGCUGCCUGAGGACCAACGCCCAGAGCGUCGUCCUCAUCGACACCGCCGUCGACGCUGUCGAUGAGGAGGAGGGCUUCGCUGCUUCCGCAUGA
rnacentral:rRNA from 1 species